ensembl:snoRNA SNORD16 Small nucleolar RNA SNORD16
UGCUAUGAUGUUGUAAUUUGCGUCUUACUCUGUGCUCAGUGACAGUUGCCUGCUGUCAGCAUACUGGCACAGGUGAUUGACGAGCAGUUAAAUGCUGAGCA